GACGUAGGGCGCGAGCGUUUGUCCGGAUUUAUUGGGCGUAAAGAGCUCGUAGGCGGUUUGGUAAGUCGGGUGUGAAAUCUCCACGCUCAACGUGGAGGGGCCACCCGAUACUGCCAUGACUCGAGUCCGGUAGGGGAGUGUGGAAUUCCCGGUGUAGCGGUGAAAUGCGCAGAUAUCGGGAGGAACACCGGUGGCGAAGGCGGGUCUCUGGGCCGAUACUGACGCUGAGGAGCG
rnacentral:rRNA from 1 species